CUAGUAGUGAAUUACUGUGAGUCGAAAUCUUUCAUGGGUGAUGGCAUCUUUAAACAAACUAGGCAGAUCAGCUUCCAUUUCAAUGUGGUCGCAAUAUAACCUGCUUCCUUUUUUUUUUUUUUUUUUUUUUUUUUUUUACGUAGAAGACACAAUUUUCUUGACCUAAUAUUUUUCCUGGUGAGAAGCCAAGACACUCUCUCUCUUCUUCUCUUAUGUGCAACAAAAGUUGGGGUUUGAAGUUCUGGUAAUUGAUGUCUGCCAUUUCGCAGUGAACACUUUCAACUUCUUCUCAGCUACAAUGAGCAUUUUUAUUUUUCCCAAAUGAAUCGAGGGCCCCUCUGAGUGUCGGCGCAAGUCCCUUGCCAGCAGUUGCCCAUCCCUGGUGUAACUGCGACAUCUAAAUCCUAAUGAAAACAAAUCAAUGAAAGGAUUGACUCAUUUUAGGAUGUGGCCUUGGUUAGCCAUUUCAUGCACCCUGUAACCUGAUAACAUGAUAAGCUGUCCACUGUAGUAACCGCUGUCCCUGAAAGGGUUAAAUCGACAUUUAGCAGUAGCCUUUGCUCAGGCCAUAGAAUGAACUACAGCAAUUCAACUGCACUCACCAUGUGAUCAAUUUUAUCAUGUGCACACGAGACACUCAUUCAUACACAUCGCCUCAUGCCUCAAGUUGAGUGUGUACCCUAUUUGUAAUUCAAGUUUGUAAGUCAAAUACGUGUCACAUAAAGCAAUAAUUGUAUUCUGGCUCCUGGAGAGCCAAACAUAAUUUGUUUUCUGUUUCUACAGUUACAGCGCUGCUUUAUUUUGUAAAAUUAAUUUGUUAUUGUGAAAGGUACACCGGAUGUUAUUGCAUGAGAGACUUCCUGUUUUACGUUGUACGUAGAAGCUCCGAAAGAUGGACCUGCCGCUUAGUGUUCUAAGCCAAGCACGGCCUUUUUACACUUUCUUGACUCGCUCCGGACGGUGAAUAAAUUGCAAGAAACAUCGACAGGUGUGGUCAUUGAAGGAGUUAUCUGUCUUAGCCGUAGCGGGGACGUGGCAAGGGCAGAACAAAUUGAAUAACCCAAAAUAUGCUUGGUUCUGAAAAUGCCACGGAGGCAACUGGUAGGAGAUUUUAACUCAC